UAGUUAUGGUUUCCUCUGUUUUUUCCUAUUUUGUGUUGUGCCUCUUGGUUUUUUUUUUUAAGUUGCAGAAAGCAGACUUUGCAGGGCUGGCAAUAAUAUUCACUGAAUAUGCUGGAAAAUAUUAUUUGUUUUCUCAGGAUUCAGGCUGUGCUUGUGUAUUUCUGAAAUCUAGGCUUCUAUGUGGGAUCUAUGAGAGGCCCAAGACAUACUCUAGAAUACAAAUAGAAUAGAAUUUUACAGGACAUAAAAUGUUUUGGUUGCUUGCUUUGGUAAUUUCAGUCCUAGAGGGGUAAAGGCCAGUUUCAAACUGAAAGAGGUAUUCUCAAGCAGUGAAUAAAUGAAUUAGGAGAGGUGCAGUGUACUCUUACAUGGACAGCACUUUUCUAUCCAGUGUCUUUGCUGGCCCCAUUUUCAGAUGUUUUUCUCUUUUGGCAUACUCUUUAUUGGUCUUUUGUGGCUCCGGUCCAACGCCUCUCUUCCCACUUCUGUCUCUAGUUCAUGUCAUAUUUAGUUUCUUAUUUCCAGCUACUCCCUGGCUCUGUAUCUCCAAGGGACACAUAGAAUGCCUAAACAUCAAUGCUGGUAGCACAUAUCGUGAUUUUCUGGAUUCCUUUUCAAGGGAGGGAGAUCAGGGGUUUCUUUCUGGACUCUUCAAGAAAAGCUCAAGCAAAGUGCAAUCACCAAUUCCCUACAUGGAGGAGAAGGACUCCUGCAGCCCACUGCUGAUGGUGAAUAAGAGCUGGCUGCUGUCAACGUCAAUGGAAUUAUUUCCUAUAUAUUGCUAGAAGAAAAUAAGGACCAGCCACGCAAUCCCUGCCUGCCCGGAUGGCUCCAGCUACAGCUGUGGAGUUUCUGGGGUUUUGCCGAUUCCUGCCGUUCCAGCUUGCUGUUUCCGAGAGUCCUGCAGGGGCACAGGGAUCGGCUGCCCCGGGGUUUGUGAAGCAAAGCCUCUCCUCCGUCCCUUCCCGUCUGCCUCAAGCCGCCAUCACCGUCUGCUCCCCGAGCCCGCGCCACAGCGCCCCCUGCAGGCGUGGGGGAAUCAUUGCACCUGCCCUGCCCGGCCGGGAGCCAGCAGCGCCCCUGGUGUCUGUGACCAGAACUGCACCAGAGAGGAAUUGCUUCAAGGGGGGAAGAGACUUCACUUGUGUUUUCUGGUUUAUUCUAUCUUUUGUUUGUUGCUGCUGCCAUUGUUGUUGCUUGUUUGCCUCGUUGUGCAUGUACAUACUACUAAAGAACUGUUAUUCCUUUUCCCGUAUCUUUGCCUGAAAGCCCCUUAAAUUCAAAGUUAUAAUAAUUCAGAGGGAGGGGGGUCGUGUUCUCCAUUCCAAGGGAGGUUCCUUGGCAGACACCUGUCUUUCAAGCCAAGACAGUGACCUAAUAACAAAUUAGGAGAUUUUUUGAGAUCACUCAAAAGGAUUUUAUUAGCCCAGUGCUCAUAAUAAAGCCUUUUAGCAGAAAUGGAAGGAGGUAGCCUGAGUCAGAGCUGUGCCAGGGUCCCUGAGCUCAGUGUCCCUCAAGGUUACAUCUGCAAUGUUAAUAAAAUCACAGCAUCAGAGACUGCUUUGAGCUGUAACGAACCCUAAAGAUCAUCUCGUUCCAACCCCUUGCCAUGGGCAGGGACACCUUCCACCAGAGAGGUGUAUGUUUCCUGCCCAGGGUAAAUGAGUCCCAUUUUUCAUGUUUUAGGAUAUUGUUUUCUUGAGGUGGAUAUGUACUUUUGGAAGGUCUAGGCUAUUUAGUGCAUCUUCUCAUGACAAUGUAUAUCUCUUUGGCUUAGGAGAGAACUGAAACCAGGGUUCAUUCCAUUUUGGUUUUGUGCUUGCAGUGUUUUCCCAGGGAGUGUUGUGUAGGUGUUUACCACAGGCUGUGGAGUUAAAACACAGCCCAUCUUUGGAUAGAAAGCCAGUGACCUGGAGCAUUACUGUACUCUUGAAAAUGAAUCUACAGGCUCUGAGGACUAUUUCUGUAGCACUGAUUGUCCUCCUUGUAUUACGUGUACAUGCUCUCAAACAACAUCUGCCUCUGAUCUUGGAGCUCCAAAUUAAUCUCUGAUCUUUUUGAGGGGUGAAGUGCACCUGGAGGAUUGUGGAAUUGUACUGGUGUUGGUGUAAGCCAGGGAUGAAAGCACUGGCAGGAGUAAGGCUGUAACUCUUAAAGCUGCAAUGGCCAGACUGUUAUUUUUCCCUGAGGAUAAUCUGAAAGAAAAGAAAUAUUUAUGCUGGCUUUGGAAUGUUUCAGUCC